rnacentral:rRNA from 1 species
GACGAACGCUGGCGGCGUGCUUAACACAUGCAAGUCGAACGGAAAGGCCCUGCUUUUGUGGGGUGCUCGAGUGGCGAACGGGUGAGUAACACGUGAGUAACCUGCCCUUGACUUUGGGAUAACUUCAGGAAACUGGGGCUAAUACCGGAUAGGAGCUCCUGCUGCAUGGUGGGGGUUGGAAAGUUUCGGCGGUUGGGGAUGGACUCGCGGCUUAUCAGCUUGUUGGUGGGGUAGUGGCUUACCAAGGCUUUGACGGGUAGCCGGCCUGAGAGGGUGACCGGCCACAUUGGGACUGAGAUACGGCCCAGACUCCUACGGGAGGCAGCAGUGGGGAAUAUUGCACAAUGGGCGGAAGCCUGAUGCAGCAACGCCGCGUGCGGGAUGACGGCCUUCGGGUUGUAAACCGCUUUCGCCUGUGACGAAGCGUGAGUGACGGUAAUGGGUAAAGAAGCACCGGCUAACUACGUGCCAGCAGCCGCGGUGGUACGUAGGGUGCGAGCGUUGUCCGGAUUUAUUGGGCGUAAAGGGCUCGUAGGUGGUUGAUCGCGUCGGAAGUGUAAUCUUGGGGCUUAACCCUGAGCGUGCUUUCGAUACGGGUUGACUUGAGGAAGGUAGGGGAGAAUGGAAUUCCUGGUGGAGCGGUGGAAUGCGCAGAUAUCAGGAGGAACACCAGUGGCGAAGGCGGUUCUCUGGGCCUUUCCUGACGCUGAGGAGCGAAAGCGUGGGGAGCGAACAGGCUUAGAUACCCUGGUAGUCCACGCUGUAAACGGUGGGUACUAGGUGUGGGGUCCAUUCCACGGGUUCCGUGCCGUAGCUAACGCUUUAAGUACCCCGCCUGGGGAGUACGGCCGCAAGGCUAAAACUCAAAGGAAUUGACGGGGCCCCGCACAAGCGGCGGAGCAUGCGGAUUAAUUCGAUGCAACGCGUAGAACCUUACCUGGGUUUGACAUGGAUCGGGAGCGCUCAGAGAUGGGUGUGCCUCUUUUGGGGUCGGUUCACAGGUGGUGCAUGGCUGUCGUCAGCUCGUGUCGUGAGAUGUUGGGUUAAGUCCCGCAACGAGCGCAACCCUUGUUCACUGUUGCCAGCACGUUAUGGUGGGGACUCAGUGGAGACCGCCGGGGUCAACUCGGAGGAAGGUGGGGAUGACGUCAAGUCAUCAUGCCCCUUAUGUCCAGGGCUUCACGCAUGCUACAAUGGCUGGUACAGAGAGUGGCGAGCCUGUGAGGGUGAGCGAAUCUCGGAAAGCCGGUCUCAGUUCGGAUUGGGGUCUGCAACUCGACCUCAUGAAGUCGGAGUCGCUAGUAAUCGCAGAUCAGCAACGCUGCGGUGAAUACGUUCCCGGG